CUGUUUACUUUUCCUCUUCCUAGAUUGCCCCUAAAUUUCUCCAUGUUAUCAGCAAAUCCUUCUCAUGUCAACAAAACAAUUUGAAACUUGAACUAAUUCUCAAAUCUAAAACACAAAGAAAUCCGACCCAGAAACCAAAAGUAGGAAAACUCUCUCUCAUUUCUGGUCAUUUUGCCCUAACCCCAUCUCAAGAAAUUCCCAAUUUUGAACCUAGUUUCAAAUC
rnacentral:lncRNA from 1 species